CUACUCAUCCAGGAAGUCACAAAAGAGUCAAGGACAACAUCAAAGGAACUACAGGCCUCUCUUGCAUCAAUAAAUGUCACUGUUCAUGACUCCACUAUCAGAAAGACACUGGGCAAAAAUGGCAUCCAUGGAACAGUGGAAAAAAAACUGCUAACCCAGAAGAACAUUAAGGCUUGUCUGAAUUUUGCCAAAACACACCUUGAUGAUCCUCAAACCUUUUGGGAGAACGUUCUGUUCACUGAUGAGUCGAAAGUGGAAUUGUUUGGAAGACCGAUUCUGUUACAUCUGGCAUAAACCAAACCCAGAAUUCCACAAAAAAGAACAUCAUACCUAUGGUCAAGCAUGGUAGUAGCAGUAUGAUUGCGUGGGCAUGCUUUGCUGCUUCAGGGCUUGGACAACUUGCAAUAAUUGAGGGAAACAUGAAUUCUGUUCUCAACCAGAAAAUCCUGAAGGAGAAUGCCGGGUCUUCAGUCCGUAAAUUGAAACUCAAGUGCAACUGGAUUAUGCAGUAAGACAAUGAUCCAAAGCAUAGGUGUAAGUCCUUGUCCUAGAAGUUUGACUUGUUGAAGCACACCAGGUUAAAUUGGAGGUCAGAUGGACUCAACUCGCUCACUUAUGAGAUCCUUUCCAAAGAGUUAGAGCCGCUGUACACCAACCUGAGUGUCAACAUUGGGGAAGAACCUCACCCCCCUCCCAAAAAGUCUGCACUCCCUAAAAAUGCUUCUUAUCCAGCAGCAAGACCCAAAGGCAGAGACAAAGACAAAGGAACAGUAGGAUGGCAGUCCACUCAAGUUACCAAAUUAGACGAGGGUCACUUAAAAGUAACCAGUACGAGUUCAGAUGUUGGUCAGAAAGAUGUCGUGAAACUGUUAUCACUGUGUACUAUUUUUGGUCUUGCUAUGGAAAUGUGCAGCUCAUCAUGUUUGCACAGGUUUGUGGUUUUUAUUUUAGAAAUGGCUAAUCUAAAAGUACUUUAUAAGAAAAGUACAAUAGGGAAUAUCCAUUAAUUCCAGAUGGCUCUUUUGGUUAGACAAUCAUAAGCUAAAUAGCUGACAAAUCAAUCAGUUAACAAAUUUCUGUCUUUAAAAGUUCUUUUUUUAAAUUUUUUUUUAUUUUUUUUAAAUAAUCAUUAUAACACAUAAUAGUGGUUUGGAUUUAUUUUAUAGUAAGAUAUUUUAUAGUAGAUUUGUUAAAGUUUGGUGAAUUAUUUUAUUGCAGGUCUCAUAGAAAGUGUUGCUGCAUAUAAUUGAUAUAAUUAUUGCUAUAAUCUUUGUACAUAAGCUAUAUUUAUUCUAUAAAAAUGCCCAAGCAGAAAUUUGCCAUAUGCAAAAAUAUGACACACUUCUAAUUUUUUAAAAAUCAACCAAGUAUCUGUACACACUGAUGAGGACUGAUUUUCAAAUAUUAGUCUAUCUAAUCUAUUUCUGAACCCUAACACUGCUGUAAAAUGGUUGGUGUUUUAAAUGUGUAAUCUCCGCACAGAGGGUAUACAGCAUUUUUCCCCCCCUAUUUUUUCUUGUAUCUGGCAAUAUCAGAAAGUGAUCAUUUGAAUGUACUUCUGUUUCUCUCUCUCUCUCCCAUUUGAAGCAGCCAGUUGUUAUUUUAUUUUUAUUUUUUUGGCAGGACUUGGGUAUAAAGUAAUGUAACAAGACCUACAUGUAGACCUUAAACUAUGAGUUAAUAAACCUCUUUUUUAUUAUGCCUUUAUUAGAGUACAGGUAAUUAGGAACUUUAUAGUAUAGGUAAUUAGAUAUACGUGUGAUAAACCUAAAAUUUAUUUAUUCAUUACCACAAAUGAUUUAAUUAGAGCUUAAACAGAAUUACCUAUAUUAUCUUUAUCUGUGUGUAUAAAUAGGUACACAUAUCUUGGCUUAUUAGCAUGUGUCCCAAAAACCUAUUUCUUUAUACUAUGUGUGCAAGACACUAAUAUAUUUAUUUAAUACACUAGUUUGUAUGAGAUGUUUAGCAAUGGUUAUAAUACACUGUAAUAUAUGAGUAUCAUAGUCUGACAACUAAUUUCCCAGUUGCUUAAAAUGAAUGAUCUUUGUGAUUUAAGAAUUUAUUUAUUUAUUUAUUUAUUUAUUUUAAUAUAAACAUAUCUGUAUGAGUCUGUAUCAUCUGGAGCAAUCUGUUAUAAUCUAUAGGGAACUUCACAAAAGGAUCCUUAAUAAUAGAGUAUCAAAUGUCCAGAAGCAUUUCACUUGUCACCGCUCCUAGAGAUUUCUCAAAUGCACUGCUGCUCUAGGGUAGAAUAUAGUUAAUCAUACUCAGACACAGUCAGUGUUUAAGUCUAGGCUUAAAACGUAUUUGUUUACUCAAGCUUACCCUGUCUAGACUUUCUGUUACGCUAAGCACAAUCCUAAUAAUCUUUUCUCUCCCCUCUCCUUCUGUCGAGCAACACACGAUUUUAUGGAAAUACUAGAGAUCCUGAUCCUCUCUGCUCUCCGGACCUGCCUGAUCCGUUUCGGAUGUCCUACCUCUGGAUGGAGCUCUCAUCUAUUCCAAUUCCAGAUUGCUGGGACUACGACUGCUUCUCAGGCCAAACUGAUCAUAUAAAUCCAUAAUUAACUUUUUCACACUAUCUGUUGUUACCCAGAUGAGGAUGGGUUCCCUUCUGAGUCUGGUUCCUCUCAAGGUUUCUUCCUCUUAACAUCUUAGGUAGUUUUUCCUUGACACUGUCGCUACUCAGUGGCUUGCUCAGUUUGGAUAAAUUCUCACCUUUAAUAUCUAUAUACCGUGUUGAUAUUUCUGUAAAGCUGCUUUGAGACAAUGUCUAUUGUAAAAAGUGCUAUACAAAUAAAAUUGAAUUGAAAUAAUCAUA